CGUCUCAAGCCCCACAAGUCUAGGAGGGACAGGAGCCGGGAUGCACGUGAACGUUCCGACCUAGGCCCGCUCGAGGAGCGUAUGGGCCUUGUGGAAUAAAAGACAAAGGAGACCACAGAGCGCCUAGAUUCCUUGGAGGAAUUCUGUCGUGGCUUGGAGGGAGAUGUGUUUGCCUCCAUGGAAGUUUUUCACACACAGGUAAAUAAUCUUAUUUCUUCCAAAGAGCAUCUUAAGGAGAAAGUUGCUGCCCAGGCGAUGGAGAUUGAAG
rnacentral:misc_RNA from 1 species